rnacentral:pre_miRNA from 1 species
AAAGUACUCCCUCCGUCGCAUUAAGUGUCGCAACUUUGUCUAGAUACGCAUGUAUCUAGAUGCGUUUUAGUGUGUAUGUACAUGCAUAUCUAGACAAAGUUGUGAUACUUAAAGACGGAGGGAGUAGUAU